GCGUUGCUCGGAAUUACUGGGCGUAAAGGGCGCGUAGGCGGGAUGGCAAGUCGGUCGUGAAAUCCCUCGGCUCAACUGAGGAUCGUCGAUCGAUACUGCCGUUCUUGAGGAUUGCAGAGGAGACUGGAAUUCCCGGUGUAGCGGUGAAAUGUGUAGAGAUCGGGAGGAACACCGGUGGCGAAGGCGGGUCUCUGGGCAAUUCCUGACGCUGAGGAGCGAAAGCGUGGGGAGCGAACAGG
rnacentral:rRNA from 1 species